UUGUCUCAACUAGGGUCCAUGUUUUCACAAGCAAUGAAGAAGUGGGUUCAAGGAAACACGGAUGAGGCUCAAGAAGAGAUGGCUUGGCGGAUAGCAAAGAUGAUAGUCAAUGAUGUCAUGCAGCAGGCACACUGCGAGCAGCGCUCAGAGAAGGGCACAACGCUAUGAUUUUAGAAAUGCCAGAACAGGAAAUCUGGUUUUCUGCGUUGAGAAUGAGUGAACUUUCCCAUUUGGUGGAUUCUUUAACACAGCCAAUAAAAACAAAGCACUGUUACUCCAACUGCUGAUAACUCCCUCGUUUAUAAGGAAGAAUUAAAAAGAAGCAAUCCUGUACCUCCACUGUAGAGCGUGAAGAAACACUUUUUCCUGUUGUAUGUGGCAUUUAGCAUGAUGGUUUUUAGAGAUGAAGAGAUCGUUGCUGAACGUGUCACUGAAAAACUCUGAUCAGCUUCACAAAUACUUGACCCUGUCUCAAAAAGACUCCUAAGCAAAAUAUCUGGAAGGGGACACAAGCCGCAGCAAGGAGGGGAGAGUUUUGCUGUAGUUUCUAGUUCUGCAACCAGUGAUUUUGUAACACGUAACUGCAAAGGCCGUGGAACGUGCCCCUGACAUUGGCCAUUGGAGGAGCAAACCUGAAAUGAUGAAUUCAUUUGGCAGUGAAUGACCUAAAAAGCUCUAAGUUUUUAAUUUUCCUUACUUGAAAUAGAUGAGUAUUCAACUGUAAGAUAAAUGUAUUUUACUUCAUAACUACAUUAACUUUGAAGGCAGCGUAGAAUGAUGAGCAAAGCCUGGACGGUGUGACUCUUCCUUGUCAAGCUCUGACAAUUGCACACUUACAUUCAUCUCCUGCUUCUAACACAGCAGACUCGAGCAGACUCUAAAUCUUAUGCUUGUGCAACCCUCUGCUCCUGAGCCUCGGCUGUGAAUGCACACCAUGUUUUCAGGAGAUUCUACCCGGUAGACUGCUCCAUUUUUUUUCCUUUCCAUCCCCUAAGCAAGGAAAAAAGUAAUUGCUGCCAUGUGUUACUGCCAUUCUGCAUAGCUUGUUGUCCUCAAACCAACAUAGUAUCUAAUUCCAGAUGUUUGGUUUACAAAGGAAAAUAACUUUAAUGACCUCUGACCGCCUUUUUCCUGACACUGUCAAUACUUGCAACAUACAAAACCUUUAAGUAAAGCCACAGCGUGAUGCAGCACCUCCAUUUUUCCCAGUGAAUUGAUUUUUACAGAGUAUCAAAAGCACUGUGUGUAACUCUGUUACAUCACUGCGUUUUUAAUAUACAACACUUCUACUUUGGGUUUUUUAUUUUACUCAUGAUUGCUUUCUUUUUCUUGAACUUGUGCAAAAAAUCACUUUGCAAAAGAACUCAAAUCAUCUCCAGUGUUCCAAAUAUUUUGAUUGACUAGCAAGUGUUAUUCUGUUGCAAUAUUUGAUUGUAUAGAGAGACACUGUAUUGUCUAUAUAUAAAAAAAAAAGGCAAAAAAGGCUGUGUAUAGGUUUUUGGUACUAUGUACCACUUCUUAUUUCUCUCAUGCCCAAGUAUUCAUGUACUUAAAGCAUACUAUAUUUAAUUGUGUUUUGAUUUAAAAUAUAUAAAUAUUAAAAUUUGUGUCAAUUUUCUGUUUUGAUGGGA